AAUCAACGCUGGCGGCGUGCCUCAGACAUGCAAGUCGAACGAUUAAAGCUCUCUUCGGAGAGUGCAUAGAGUGGCGCACGGGUGAGUAACACGUAAGUAAUCUACCUUCGAGUGGGGAAUAACGUCCGGAAACGGACGCUAAUACCGCAUAAUGCAGCGGCAUCGCAAGAUGACAGUUGUUAAAGGAGCAAUUCGCUUGAAGAGGAGCUUGCGGCAGAUUAGCUAGUUGGUAAGGUAAUGGCUUACCAAGGCUACGAUCUGUAGCCGACCUGAGAGGGUGGUCGGUCACACUGACACUGAAUAACGGGUCAGACUCCUACGGGAGGCAGCAGUCGGGAAUUUUGGGCAAUGGGCGAAAGCCUGACCCAGCAACGCCGCGUGAAGGAUGAAGUC
rnacentral:rRNA from 1 species